CUGUUCCUGGCCUUACCCGCAGAUGCAAACCCUCCCUCCCAGCAGAGGCCGAGGGGGCCGCACAGGAGCUGGAGAACCAGAUGAAAGAGCGCCAAGGCCUCUUCUUUGACAUGGAGGCCUAUUUGCCGAAGAAGAACGGAUUGUACCUGAGCCUGGUUCUGGGGAACGUCAACGUCACGCUCCUGAGCAAGCAGGCUAAGUUUGCCUACAAGGACGAGUAUGAGAAGUUCAAGCUCUACCUCACCAUCAUCCUCAUCCUCAUCUCCUUCACUUGCCGCUUCCUGCUCAACUCCAGGUGGGCGUCCCACCCCGGCCGAGGACCCACCCCAUCCCCAGUCACUGCAGUACCAACCCUCGGUCCCCUCCCUCCAUAGGGUGACAGACGCUGCCUUCAACUUCCUGCUGGUCUGGUACUACUGCACCCUGACCAUCCGGGAGAGCAUCCUCAUCAACAACGGCUCCCGGAUCAAAGGCUGGUGGGUGUUCCAUCACUAUGUGUCUACCUUCCUGUCGGGAGUCAUGCUGACGUGGCCCGAUGGUCUCAUGUACCAGAAAUUCCGGAACCAAUUCCUCUCCUUUUCCAUGUAC
rnacentral:sRNA from 1 species